UACGAAGGGGGCGAGCGUUGUUCGGAAUCACUGGGCGUAAAGGGCGCGUAGGCGGCGGACCAAGUCGAGUGUGAAAGCCCCGGGCUCAACCUGGGAGGUGCGCUCGCGACGGGGUUUGCUGGAGUUCGGGAGAGGAGCGUGGAAUUCCCAGUGUAGAGGUGAAAUUCGUAGAUAUUGGGAAGAACACCGGUGGCGAAGGCGGCGCUCUGGGCCUUGCCUGACGCUGAGGCGCGAAAGCUAGGGGAGCGAACAGG
rnacentral:rRNA from 1 species